GAUGAAGAACGUAGUGAAAUGCGAUAAGUAAUGUGAAUUGCAGAAUUCAGUGAAUCAUCGAAUCUUUGAACGCACAUUGCGCCCUCUGGUAUUCCGGGGGGCAUGCCUGUUCGAGCGUCAUUAUAACCACUCAAGCUCUCGCUUGGUAUUGGGGUUCGCGGUUCCGCGGCCCCUAAAAUCAGUGGCGGUGCCUGUCGGCUCUACGCGUAGUAAUACUCCUCGCGAUUGAGUCCGGUAGGUCUACUUGCCAGCAACCCCCAAUUUUUACAGGUUGACCUCGGAUCAGGUAGGGAUACCCGCUGAACUUAAGCAUAUCAAUAAGCGGAGG
rnacentral:misc_RNA from 1 species